CCCUAGCAAGAAUGAGGAAGAUGAAGAGCUCGGGUAUCUGAGGGCUGGUGUGUCUGCAUGCGUGUGUGUUUUGGGGGCCGACUGAAGGAAGAGAAGGCUGGAGAGAGGGAACAUGGGUCUGAGGGCACAUCGCUAAGGGGUCAAGAGGCCUAAAGGAGGAGUCUAAGGCUCUCCAUCGAACUUGGACUUGGUCUACAUUAGACUUUAACCUCCAUGAGGCUUGGACUUUCAGGCUUCCUCCCUCACACCGCGGGCAGGUGAGGCGUCUGCUACAGGCCUGGUCUCGCAGAGGGGGCCCAGCGCCCCCCGCCGCCGCCUUCUCCUGGAGUCUGUGUGACAGAAUGGGACCUGUGGGAAAGCAGCACGUCAGCACCCAGCCCCGCUUGCGCGCCAGCAGCUAAUUAAAGCCAGGAAGGUAAUUUAUUGCUUAGGGAGAAUGUGCGGGAGGUUUGGCUGAGCUGAAAUGGCCCCCGAAGAGUUAUGGAAAGCUAAAGUGGGUUUUCAGAAGCAAAAGUUAAUUGCUCUUCACUUAGCAUUUCAGUGUCAUGUGGCUCUGAGUUACACACGCGGAGUGGAAGCCUCUAUCCAGGCAGGGGACGGAGGGGCGUGCUGGAGCCGGGCCUCCCCAGUGGCUGCUGGCGGCGGACUGAAAGUGUCACCACCCCUCUCCCCGCAUGGGGCAAGACGGUGCUGGCUCCCUGGACUCUCAUCCCCAGGUCCUGAUGGGACUAGAAGGCAUUUGUGUAUUGAAGAGUUUUUGUGUCGGGGAAAGAGCCCUGGUCAGGGAAUCUAGUAACUGCGGGAGGGGGUGGGGCGGGGCUCCUAGUUCCGUCAGGGCAGAACUAGGAGCUUCCAUCUCUUUUAUUCAAAAUUGUUUCUGAGUCCAGGAUGUUGGGUCAAAGAGAAGUGAGAAGUCCCCACUUCUUUCGAGAAUGACUUGGCCAGCUCAGAAUGAGAUCAGAAUCCCAGUGAAAGUCUGAAUGGGCUGAACACCAGCCAGGGAUGGCACUUAGGUUAUGUUCUGAUCUGCCUGUGACUUGGGGGAGUUCCUUCCGCUCUCUGGGGCUCCCUUCUGUUUAAUGAUCGCUAAAGCACAUCAUCACUUCUGGCAUCCGGUCACUUCUCUGAGACUGUGAUUCGCCUCUCUGGGUCUCCUCGUGGAUACCAUUUAUGCUGCACGACCCAUUUGGCAGAGGGGAAGACUGAGGUCUAAGAUACCCCAUACCCUGACAGAGUAUAUGGAAGAUAUGGGAGUGACCUGACUCUUAGCUGAAAGUAAAUAGAUUUACCACCUAGAAA
rnacentral:lncRNA from 1 species